rnacentral:misc_RNA from 1 species
UCCCCGUUUCACAGGGCAGUCUGACCAGAGUGCUCCGGACUAGCCGGUUAGCAACAGAUCACAGGGGUUGCGCUCGUUGCGGGACUUAACCCAAUAUCUCACGACACGAGCUGACGACAGCCAUGCAGCACCUGUGCAAAUUGUACCUUGCGGUACUCGCCGGCUUUCACCGACUUAGAGAUGCAUGUCAAGCCUAGGUAAGGUUCUUCGCGUUGCAUCGAAUUAAGCCACAUACUCCACCGCUUGUGCGGGCCCCCGUCAAUUUCUUUGAGUUUUAAUCUUGCGACCGUACUCCCCAGGCGGCGCGUUUAACGCGUUAGCUCCGGCACGGAAGGGGUCGAGACCCGCCAAGCCUAGUACCCAUCGUUUACGGCGUGGACUAC